UGAGGAAUAUUGGUCAAUGGACGGAAGUCUGAACCAGCCAAGUAGCGUGCAGGAUGACGGCCCUAUGGGUUGUAAACUGCUUUUAUGCGGGGGUAAAGUGAGUGACGUGUCAUUCAUUGCAAGUACCGCAAGAAUAAGGACCGGCUAAUUCCGUGCCAGCAGCCGCGGUAAUACGGAAGGUCCUGGUGUUAUCCGGAUUUAUUGGGUUUAAAGGGAGCGUAGGCCGUCAGGCAAGCGUGUUGUGAAAUGUCGUGGCUCAACCAUGGACUUGCAGCGCGAACUGCCCGACUUGAGUGCGCAGAAAGCAGGCGGAAUUUGUGGUGUAGCGGUGAAAUGCUUAGAUAUCACGAAGAACCCCGAUUGCGAAGGCAGCCUGCUGUAGCGCUACUGACGCUGAAGCUCGAAAGUGCGGGUAUCGAACAGGAUUAGAUACCCUGGUAGUCCGCACGGUAAACGAUGGAUGCCCGCUGUUCGGUUUUCGGACCGAGCGGCUAAGUGAAAACGUUAAGCAUCCCACCUGGGGAGUACGCCGGCAACGGUG
rnacentral:rRNA from 1 species